GGAGAAUUAGCUCAGCUGGGAGAGCAUCUGCCUUACAAGCAGAGGGUCGGCGGUUCGAACCAGUCAUUCUCCACCA
rnacentral:tRNA from 1 species